GGAAGUGAGGGUGACCUGGCUGUAACACCUGUCACCCCAUUGAUAAAAGGGUUGAUUUGGCUGAUCUUUUCUCCCUCACCACUCCAUGUACAUCCCUCCCGAAGCUGUGCACUUGGUAGAAGAGAACCUUCUCUGAUAGAGGAGGACUGUUCAUCGGUCAAGGGUAUACGAGUAGCUGUGCUCCCCUGCUAGACCCUCCAAACAAGCUCUCAAAGCAGACCUAAGUCUAUAUUUUUAAAAGUGCAUAAACUGAAGUUUGGGGAUGAUGAAAGAUAACCACUUAAGUAAUGUGGAAUAAUAAAUAGCUUCAAU
rfam:Nomascus leucogenys chromosome 1a, whole genome shotgun sequence.